GAUGAACGCUGGCGGCGUGCCUAAUACAUGCAAGUCGAGCGAACGGACGAGAAGCUUGCUUCUCUGAUGUUAGCGGCGGACGGGUGAGUAACACGUGGAUAACCUACCUAUAAGACUGGGAUAACUUCGGGAAACCGGAGCUAAUACCGGAUAAUAUUUUGAACCGCAUGGUUAAAAAGUGAAAGACGGUCUUGCUGUCACUUUUAGAUGGAUCCGCGCUGCAUUAGCUAGUUGGUAAGGUAACGGCUUACCAAGGCAACGAUGCAUAGCCGACCUGAGAGGGUGAUCGGCCACACUGUAACUGAGACACGGUACAGACUCCUACGGGAGGCAGCAGUAGGGAAUCUUCCGCAAUGGGCGAAAGCCUGACGGAGCAACGCCGCGUGAGUGAUGAAGGUCUUCUGAUCGUAAAACUCUGUUAUUAGGGAAGAACAUAUGUGUAAGUAACUGUGCACAUCUUGACGGUACCUAAUCAGAAAGCCACGGCUAACUACGUG
rnacentral:rRNA from 1 species